rnacentral:rRNA from 1 species
UAGGGAAUUUUCGGCAAUGGACGAAAGUCUGACCGAGCAAUGCCGCGUGAACGAAGAAGGUCUUCGGAUUGUAAAGUUCUGUUAUUUGGAAAGAAAGUAUGGGAUAGGAAAUGAUUCUAUAUUGACGGUACCGAAUGAGGAAGCCCCGGCUAACUAUGUGCCAGCAGCCGCGGUAAUACAUAGGGGGCGAGCGUUAUCCGGAAUUAUUGGGCGUAAAGCGUGCGUAGGCGGAAUGUUAAGUCAUUUGUAAAAGAUCUCGGCCCAACCGAGUAAGGCGAAUGAAACUGGCAAUCUUGAGUACGGUAGAGGUAAGUGGAAUUCCAAGUGUAGCGGUGGAAUGCGUAGAUAUUUGGAGGAACACCGAUGGCGAAGGCAGCUUACUGGGCCGGAACUGACGCUGAGGCACGAAAGCGUGGGUAGCAAACAGGAUUAGAUACCCCCGGUAGUC